rnacentral:rRNA from 1 species
GACGAACGCUGGCGGCGUGCCUAAUACAUGCAAGUCGAGCGAAUCUUGAGGUGCUUGCACCUCUUGGUUAGCGGCGGACGGGUGAGUAACACGUGGGCAACCUGCCUGUAAGACUGGGAUAACACCGGGAAACCGGUGCUAAUACCGGAUAUCUCUUUUCCCCUCAUGGGGAGAAGCUGAAAGUCGGUUCACGCUGACACUUACAGAUGGGCCCGCGGCGCAUUAGCUAGUUGGUGAGGUAACGGCUCACCAAGGCGACGAUGCGUAGCCGACCUGAGAGGGUGAUCGGCCACACUGGGACUGAGACACGGCCCAGACUCCUACGGGAGGCUG